CGUUAGGGGCGACUGCAACCAGGCGUUGCGGCAAGUUACGGUGGGAACUUCUGUCCGUGCUGUGUGAUUGCGACGAGGACGACUGCCGCCAGCAGCGGCGUGUCGCCGAUUUCGUCUUUGCCGACAUCGAGCAAGUGCAACAAGCGCCGGAAGUUUUGCGUUUUGCACUGCAUUUUCCUUGUGAUAUGAGAGAUCGCAACGCAGAGACGACCAGAUGCAUACGAAAGACUACCAGCGGAGAGUGACCUGUGCCAUAUUUCUCUUAACCUCUCAGGUAUUCAAGAAAUGGCAACAUCCAGAAGACGCCAUGUUAUCCAGCACGUUAUGGGUACACUCUGGUGGCUCCCGCCCCUGCAUCCUGC